rnacentral:rRNA from 1 species
CACGAACGCUGGCGGCAGGCUUAACACAUGCAAGUCGAGCGCCCCGCAAGGGGAGCAGCAGACGGGUGAGUAACGCGUGGGAAUCUACCCAUCUCUACGGAAUAACGCAUGGAAACGUGUGCUAAUACCGUAUACGUCCUUCGGGAGAAAGAUUUAUCGGAGAUGGAUGAGCCCGCGUUGGAUUAGCUAGUUGGUGGGGGAAAGGCGUACCAAGGCGACGAUCCAUAGCUGGUCUGAGAGGAUGAUCAGCCACACUGGGACUGAGAUACGGCCCCGACUCCUACGGGAGGCAGCAGUGGGAAAGAUUGGACGAUGGGCGCAAGGCUGAUCCAGCCAUGCCGCGUGAGUGAUGAAGGACCUAGGGUUGUAAAGCUCUUUCACCGGUGAAGAUAAUGACGGUAACCGGAGAAGAAGCCCCGGCUAACUUCGUGCCAGCCGCCGCAGUAAUAC